GAUUGAACGCUGGCGGAAUGCUUUACACAUGCAAGUCGAACGGCAGCACGGACUUCGGUCUGGUGGCGAGUGGCGAACGGGUGAGUAAUAUAUCGGAACGUGCCCAGUCGUGGGGGAUAACGUAGUGAAAAUUACGCUAAUACCGCAUACGAUCUACGGAUGAAAGCGGGGGACUCGCAAGAGCCUCGCGCGAUUGGAGCGGCCGAUAUCAGAUUAGGUAGUUGGUGAGGUAAAGGCUCACCAAGCCCGCGAUCUGUAGCUGGUCUGAGAGGACGACCAGCCACACUGGAACUGAGACACGGUCCAGACUCCUACGGGAGGCAGCAGUGGGGAAUUUUGGACAAUGGACGAAAGUCUGAUCCAGCCAUUCCGCGUGCAGGAUGAAGGCCCUCGGGUUGUAAACUGCUUUUGUACGGAACGAAAAGGUCUCUCCUAAUACGAGAGGCUCAUGACGGUACCGUAAGAAUAAGCACCGGCUAACUACGUGCCAGCAGCCGCGGUAAUACGUAGGGUGCAAGCGUUAAUCGGAAUUACUGGGCGUAAAGCGUGCGCAGGCGGUUAUAUAAGACAGAUGUGAAAUCCCCGGGCUCAACCUGGGAACUGCAUUUGUGACUGUAUAGCUAGAGUACGGUAGAGGGGAUGGAAUUCCGCGUGUAGCAGUGAAUGCGUAGAUAUGC
rnacentral:rRNA from 1 species